rnacentral:rRNA from 1 species
GUGAAAUACAAAUCGGACUAGGAUAUAGCUGGUUUUCUGCGAAAAUUGUUUUGGCAAAUUGUUUAUUCCUCUCAAAAAUAGUAGGUAUAGCACUGAAUAUCUCGAGGGAGUAUGAAAAUAUUUAUCUCAGAUAUUUAAUCUCAAAAUAACUAUUUCUUAAAAUAAAUAAUCAGACUAUGUGCGAUAAGGUAGAUAGUCGAAAGGGAAACAGCCCAGAACAGUAAUUAAAGCUCCCCAAUUAAUAUUAAGUG